rnacentral:rRNA from 1 species
UACAGAGGUCCCGAGCGUUGUUCGGAUUCACUGGGCGUAAAGGGUGCGUAGGUGGCGAGGUAAGUCGGAUGUGAAAGCUCGGAGCUCAACUCCGAAAUGGCAUUGGAAACUACCUUGCUCGAGGGUUGGAGGGGGGACUGGAAUUCUCGGUGUAGCAGUGAAAUGCGUAGAUAUCGGAAGGAACGCCGGUGGCGAAAGCGACGUGCUGGACCCCUUCUGACGCUGAGGCGCGAAAGCCAGGGGAGCAAACGGG